CUAGGAAUGGGGAAAAAAUAAGAACCAAGAUGCAUCAUGUAAAGGUACAAUUCCCAAUGAGAAAUGUAAUUGUGUUGUAUACCUAUAAUGUACCAAUAAAAGAAUUUAAUUUAAAAAAAAGAAGUAAUCUCCAGGUAUGGCAGUGCACACCUGUAAUCCCAGCACUCAGGAGGCUGAGGCAGGAGGAUCACUGCAAGUUUGAGGCCAGCCUGGGCUACAUGGCCAGAACCUGUCUCAAAAAAAAGAGGGCCACGGAUUUAGCUCAGUGGUUCUGACACCUGCCUCGCAAGCACAAGGUCCUGAGUUCGAUCCCCCAUACCAAAAAACUAAUAAUAAAUAAAGGAAGACAGUUUAUAAAAAAAGAAAGAAAAAGAACAAAGAAGAAGAAAAGAAGCAAUGGUCUGAAAGAAGCAGUACUUCUCAAACUAUUUUGACAAAUCAUACCCACUUUGGUUUUAAAUUUUUCAAUCUAUCACAGAUUGAUAAUUUUGUAAAAUAUAAAAAUCACUUCCUUGGAUAUGUCAACAAUGUCAAGUGGCUAUAAAGUUUUCUCAUUGUGUACCUUUUUUGGGGGAAGGGAUGUUGAGACAGGGUCUUCAUAUGAAGUUCAAGUUGGACUUGAACUCACUAUAUAGUUGUAGCUGACCCCCUGCCCAAUUUACUAGCAGGCUAUAAGUGGCACAGGCUUCUUGCUUCCCCAUAAUUCAGCUGUAUUAUAUUAGGAGCCUGACCAAAGCCCAUGUGACUCAUGUGGGCCCAUCAGAUGCCGUGCAGGCAAACAUAUCCCCUCCGCCAACAGCUGUAACAGAGAUCUAAGUCUUGGUCUCUGAUGCUGCUGGGCCCUGAUUGAAAUAACAUUGCAGCUGAGGAUAGUGUGGCUCCAACUAAAUUUCUUUCCCUGAAUUAUGGCCUCCCCCCACCUACCUGAUGGGUUACUGGUUAAUUAUAACCCAGUCUUGGUCUCCCUUUGUUCCUUCGGCAGGAAUGCCUUGCCCCCCUUUUAUGAGCCUUGCCUGUGAUAACUGCUAUCACCAGAUGUCUUGCAUACACCUUGCCCUGUUUCUUCCCACACUUGUAAUCAAUAAAUACUGGAGGUCUUGGGUGCCUAGUAUCUUUGCUGACAGCUCAGCUCAGACAAUCCCAGAUGCCCAUCUUUCUAAAUCUUAUUUCCAUGUCUUUCUGUCACCUUGCAUUGCAGUCCCUAGGCAGGUGAUCGGGGCCCAAGGCCAGAGACCCAAAUAG
rnacentral:lncRNA from 1 species